rnacentral:lncRNA from 1 species
AGCAAUAUGAUUAAAUAUACGCUUGAAUGUAACAAGCAAACGAAACUCAAGAUAAUUUGAUUUGGAUAGAUACAGGAAUAGUUUAAAAAAUAAAUUUAGAAAUUUAAUUUAUCUUAUUUCUUUGAAAAAAAUAUUCUAAAUUUGUAAAUAUGUUUCCUUCUAAACAGAGGUAUGCAUUGAUAUUCAUGCAUUUAUGCAUGUGUAACCACGUUUGGGAAAAACAAGGUAUGGAAACGACAGUCCGGUUAAAUCAUAACCUGGAUUCUGGAGUAUGUUUUAAAUCCAUACUUCAGACAAGUUACUCGGACUGUUUUAGACGUUUUGAAAGUGGUAAACUUAGCUUCAACGUGAUGGUCUACAGAAGGCACUACCUGCUUUGCAAAUUGUGUUUUGUCUCCAAGACGCUUACGAUAAAAAAGGAGCCUUGGUUUAUACUUGUCCAUUACCCAAUCACAGACACAUCACAAGAAAAUUUGGCAUUUAAUAAACCAACACAACAAAGUUCUAUUUAUUUUGAAGUCUGAUGUUGGCAACGCUCCCUCCAGUACUUGCCGUUGAUGGCAUCCGAGCAUCCGACAUGAUAAUAGAUGAUCACUUUGCCUGCGCACAUACAGCUGAUCAGUCAGCUGAGGAGUAUUGGUGGAGAGUAGAUUUGGAAACACAUUUACCCAGUUUCAAAGGUUGCCAUCUUGAACAGGAAAGAAGAAUGCUGUUCACACUGUCUCCACAAGCUCAUCAUCACAGUUGGUGAAACCGAAAAUAGUAUGCAUCUGUGUGCUGAAUAUGAGGGCCCUGUAGGGCCAGGAAAGUCUCAGGAUAUCUUUUGUCAGAAACCAAUGUUGGGACGAUUUGUGCGGAUUAGUAAAGCAAUUCAAGAAACUGUAGUACUGUGUGAAGUUGAAGUUUAUCACUAACAUAUUCUAGACUUGUUAACAUGGGGCUUGUGAAGUUGGAAGUUUAUCCGCUCACAUUUGCAAGACCUGUUAACAUGGGGCUUCUGAAGUGGAGUUUGUUGCUAACAUAUGCUUUAUCUGUUUAAACCGUCAUAAACAUUCAUAAAAACAAAAGCCUAAUUACAUCAAGAGGCCGAGUUGUUAAGGCCACUGAAUAUGAAACGAUGUGGGUUCGAGCCUCGCUAAGGUCGUUUAAUUGAUUAAAGUCGUCCUAGAUGACUUACAAAAGAUCGUUGGUUCUAUACAGGGUGCCCGCCCUUAAUGAAAUAAUAUAUGGAGUGACACCUGGUGUCUUCCUCCACCUAUCAAAAGUUUAAACAACGAGAAAAAAUAUUAAACAGGGCAUGCCACGUUCCACAAACGCAGCCUCCC